AUACUGGUAUUCUUAGGUCAUAAUGUCUGUUAGUUUACAGACAGGUAACACAUACUGGUGGACUUAGGUCAUAAUGUCUGUUAGUUUACAGACAGGUAACACAUACUGGUGGACUUAGGUCAUAAUGUCUGUUAGUUUACAGACAGGUAACACAUACUGGUGGACUUAGGUCAUAAUGUCUGUUAGUUUACAGACAGGUAACACAUACUGGUAUUCUUAGGUCAUAAUGUCUGUUAGUUUACAGACAGGUAACACAUACUGGUAUUCUUAGGUCAUAAUGUCUGUUAGUUUACAGACAGGUAACACAUACUGGUGGACUUAGGUCAUAAUGUCUGUUAGUUUACAGACAGGUAACACAUACUGGUAUUCUUAGGUCAUAAUGUCUACUAGUUUACAGACAGGUAACACAUACUGGUGGACUUAGGUCAUAAUG